rnacentral:rRNA from 1 species
GACGAACGCUGGCGGCGUGCCUAAUACAUGCAAGUCGAACGGUCUUUUCUAUGGAAGCUUGCUUCCACUGAGAAGAUAGUGGCGAACGGGUGAGUAACACGUGGGUAACCUGCCCAUAAGAGGGGGAUAACAUCCGGAAACGGGUGCUAAUACCGCAUAGUUUUCUUGAUCGCAUGAUUGAGAAAGGAAAGACGGCCUUUGUGCUGUCGCUUAUGGAUGGACCCGCGGCGUAUUAGUUAGUUGGUGAGGUAACGGCUCACCAAGACGAUGAUACGUAGCCGACCUGAGAGGGUGAUCGGCCACAUUGGGACUGAGACACGGCCCAAACUCCUACGGGAGGCAGCAGUAGGGAAUCUUCCGCAAUGGACGAAAGUCUGACGGAGCAACGCCGCGUGAGUGAAGAAGGUUUUCGGAUCGGUAAAACUCUGUUGUCAGAGAAGAACAAGUUGGAGAGUAACUGCUCCAGCCUUGACGGUAUCUGACCAGAAAGCCACGGCUAACU